rnacentral:rRNA from 1 species
GUGGGGAAUCUUAGACAAUGGGCGCAAGCCUGAUCUAGCCAUGCCGCGUGAGCGAUGAAGGCCUUAGGGUUGUAAAGCUCUUUCAGCUGGGAAGAUAAUGACGGUACCAGCAGAAGAAGCCCCGGCUAACUCCGUGCCAGCAGCCGCGGUAAUACGGAGGGGGCUAGCGUUGUUCGGAAUUACUGGGCGUAAAGCGCACGUAGGCGGAUCAGAAAGUCAGAGGUGAAAUCCCAGGGCUCAACCUUGGAACUGCCUUUGAAACUCCUGAUCUUGAGGUCGAGAGAGGUGAGUGGAAUUCCGAGUGUAGAGGUGAAAUUCGUAGAUAUUCGGAGGAACACCAGUGGCGAAGGCGGCUCACUGGCUCGAUACUGACGCUGAGGUGCGAAAGCGUGGGGAGCAAACAGGAUUAGAUACCCCGGUAGUCC